GAGACUGAUAGAGAUGGUGUCCCCAUCCCAGCUCCUCGGGCUCCUGCUGCUCUGGAUCUCAGUCUCCAGGGGAGACAAAGUGCUGACCCAGACGCCAGACUCCUUGACUGUGCCCCUGGGAGAGACAGUCACCAUCAACUGCAAAGCCAGUGAAACCAUCACCAACAGCAAAGGUGAAAAUUGGCUCCGGUGGUUCCAGCAGAAACCCGGACAGUCUCCCAGGCAGCUCAUCUACAAAGUCUCCACCCUGAUGCCCGGGGUCCCGGCCCGCUUCAGUGGCAGUGGGUCUAAGACAGAUUUCACUCUGACCAUCACUGGUGUGGAAGCCAAUGAUGCUGCAGACUAUUUCUGUGGACAGUCUGGGUGGUUCCCUUCCACAGUGCUCCAGCCCCAUACAAAAACCUCCCCCGGCUGGCUGAUCGGUGAUGCUUGGCUGUCCCAGCUGCUCUCUCUCUCCCUGCAGCUGCUGAGGGGCUGCUCAGACACAGCGUCUCACGCUCUCUGA